CCCACAGAGCCUGUGAUUAAGAAGGCAUCCAUCUGUCAACAGUGGCUCUCAGCUGUAUUUCCAGCCCAGCUUCCUCCCAACUGACUCAUUCAGUGAUGCCACAAUCUAAUGUUUAUGACCUAACAGAUGAUCACCAUGGAAGUAGCACAAACCUUAGACUGUUGAGGAGCAAAACCAGCAUAGAGGAGCUGGACAGUUUAGGAAAAGAAAAAAUGAAGACCCUUAUUCAUAGAGACCACAUGUUAAGACUGAACAUCCCAUUUCUUAUGUGGGCACUUCCACCAGUUACUAAAAUUGAUAUUUGGAUGCCUUCGUGCCUGUUGGAGAACCCAAAUAAGGAUUUAAGGGCUUCUGCUGUUCGAAUCUCACCUCUACUCAAGAACAGUUUGUCUCUUCAACAUCAGCAACAGCACAGACGCAAUCACUUUUUCUGGGAGACAGGGCAUGAGAUAGGCAGUAGCAUGAGCAGUGGUUAGGGUUAUAGGUCAUGCUGUGCAGUGCUGAGGACUGGAUCCACAGCAUCACAGUUUGGCUGCCCAAUGUCCAGUGCCUGUUUCCAAGAUACAGGUGUUAUCCAGCUUUCUAGUUAUUUAUGCUAGAAGGGUAAGUCUGCUACCAGGUACUUUUUUAUGGAUGGAAGUAGAAGUCUCCAGUCAUAAGUUAUGAUCUAAUGACAUUAAAACCAAGAUAAAGACAAUCUAUAUGCUUAUUAAAUACAUUUUCUGUUUUCCUAGACUUCACUUCCCAUGCUAGAU